GGGCCUACCAUGCAAGUCGAACGGCAGCACAGAAGAGCUUGCUCUUUGGGUGGCGAGUGGCGGACCGUUGAGUAAUGUCUGGGAAACUGCCCGAUGGAGGGGGACACUACUGGAAACGGUAGCUAAUACCGCAUAACGUCGCAAGACCAAAGUGGGGGACCUUCGGGCCUCACACCAUCGGAUGUGCCCAGAUGGGAUUAGCUAGUAGGUGGGGUAAUGGCUCACCUAGGCGAAGAUCCCUACCUGGUCUGAGAGGAUGACCAGCCACACUGAAACUGAGACACGGUCCAGACUCCUACGGGAGGCAGCAGUGGGGAAUAUUGCACAAUGGGCGCAAGCUUGAUGCAGCCAUGCCGCGUGUAUGAAGAAGGCCUUCGGGUUGUAAAGUACUUUCAGCGGGGAGGAAGGCGGUGAGGUUAAUAACCUUGCCGAUUGACGUUACCCGCAGAAGAAGCACCGGCUAACUCCGUGCCAGCAGCCGCGGUAAUACGGAGGGUGCAAGCGUUAAUCGGAAUUACUGGGCGUAAAGCGCACGCAGGCGGUCUGUUAAGUCAGAUGUGAAAUCCCCGGGCUUAACCUGGGAACUGCAUUUGAAACUGGCAGGCUUGAGUCUCGUAGAGGGGGGUAGAAUUCCAGGUGUAGCGGUGAAAUGCGUAGAGAUCUGGAGGAAUACCGGUGGCGAAGGCGGCCCCCUGGACGAAGACUGACGCUCAGGUGCGAAAGCGUGGGGAGCAAACAGGAUUAGAUACCCUGGUAGUCCACGCCGUAAACGAUGUCGACUUGGAGGUUGUGCCCUUGAGGCGUGGCUUCCGGAGCUAACGCGUUAAGUCGACCGCCUGGGGAGUACGGCCGCAAGGUUAAAACUCAAAUGAAUUGACGGGGGCCCGCACAAGCGGUGGAGCAUGUGGUUUAAUUCGAUGCAACGCGAAGAACCUUACCUGGCCUUGACAUCCAGAGAACUUAGCAGAGAUGCUUUGGUGCCUUCGGGAACUCUGAGACCAGGUGCUGCAUGGCUGUCGUCAGC
rnacentral:rRNA from 1 species